GAUCUGAAAAGGUGAGUGAUUUAAGAGAUGCAUGAUGAACUUUCAUGGUGUUAAAUGGAAGAUGGUGUCUCAUAUGAGUGAGGAUAUAUCACUAACAGUAUGUGCAGUGGAAAAUAAGAUUAGAGAUGAAAAGAGUAUGUGUAUUGGAAAAUGAAGAUACCACGACCGAAGCCAACAAUGGCACUUUUUCCUUUCCCCUUUUUGUUUUUUUUUUCAAAAUGAAUGUUUGGAGAGAGACUUGACUGGAGAGGUUCGGUCGUCUCCUUUUUUAUAUUGGCUAACAUGGUCCUUAUAUAGUGCAUACUAGGGUUUUCUACUUUUUU
rnacentral:lncRNA from 1 species